UUGUUAGAGUUUAGAGAAACGAGCAAGACUCGGUUCGGAGGUUUUUGUACAGACAAGACGGGACGACGACAAGACCGUUCUCUACUCUCUAGGUGAAUGUCUUAUCCUACGUGGAAAUCGUAAUAAUAAGUUUUUAUAAUUACAACCACGUUUUCUUACGAUUCAAAAAAAAAAAAAAUACAACUUGUGAUUUUCCCAUCUGUCGAAACACGUCAUUUUUAGAAAAUUCCUGAUUCAUUCAUUCAUAUGUGAACAAGCCAUUAAAC
rnacentral:lncRNA from 1 species